rnacentral:rRNA from 1 species
UACGUAGGUCGCAAGCGUUGUCCGGAUUUACUGGGCGUAAAGAGCGCGCAGGCGGCUGGUCAAGUCCGAUGUGAAAUCUCCCGGCUCAACUGGGAAACUGCAUCGGAAACUGAUCGGCUUGAAGAUGGGAGAGGGUAGUGGAAUUCCCGGUGUAGUGGUGAAAUGCGUAGAUAUCGGGAGGAACACCAGUGGCGAAGGCGACUACCUGGCCCAUUCUUGACGCUGAGGCGCGAAAGCUAGGGGAGCGAACAGG